rnacentral:lncRNA from 1 species
UUCUGUUAGGUGAUGUAGAUUUCAGCAUUGAAGAUGUUGAUCAGGAUACAGAUACUAUCAGUCAUGAAUCAGAGAUCGUCUUAUGGCUGCCUGUCGUCUGUGUGCUUCUGCUACUGUUACUGGUGUCAAGUGUCUAUGUGUGUUGGAGAGGAACAGGACUGUGAAAAGGUUGUGGAAGAACUAAUAACCUGAACCAGGACUGGAUUCACAAUAGUGUUCAGGGUAAAAUGGAACAAGAUGAUUGGACACUGGCUGACGUUUUUUAUACACUGAUACCGUAAUUGAUUAUUUCAAAAUUCUUUUAUUCACUUAUCUUCAUCUUUUGUCUUAUUUAAUACAAUGUGUCUCUUUGGUAAUCAGAGUAGUUUGAUAACCCCUUUUUUUCAGAUGUGCUUCAAUGUGCAGAUUGCUAUGAAUUGUAUGUUUAACACUUAACUGUUUAUGUCAAUGCUUUAUGAUAUGUUCUGCCACUUUAAAUGUCUAACUUAUGCACAUGAAUAAUGACAAUACUUGCAAUGGCCUAUACUCUUGUAUUUUAUUGUGACUAUAUGGUAUCAAAAAGCUCCUCUCUCACAGCAGCCUUUUAACAAUGUUUCCUGUCUGUGAUUGUUGACUAAAUGUAGCUCAUGUGCCAGCAAUUUACAAAGCAAGUCGUCUCACGCACAUUGAACAGAGACACUCUAUUUAGAGAAAUACUUCUAAUAAAGUGAUAGCAG